rnacentral:rRNA from 1 species
UGGGGAAUAUUGGACAAUGGGCGCAAGCCUGAUCCAGCCAUGCCGCGUGAGUGAUGAAGGCCUUAGGGUUGUAAAGCUCUUUCGCCAGGGACGAUAAUGACGGUACCUGGAUAAGAAGCCCCGGCUAACUUCGUGCCAGCAGCCGCGGUAAUACGAAGGGGGCUAGCGUUGUUCGGAAUCACUGGGCGUAAAGCGCAUGCAGGCGGACUGAUAAGUCAGGGGUGAAAGCCCGAGGCUCAACCUCGGAACUGCCUUUGAUACUGCCAGUCUUGAGUCCGGGAGAGGUGAGUGGAACUGCGAGUGUAGAGGUGAAAUUCGUAGAUAUUCGCAAGAACACCAGUGGCGAAGGCGGCUCACUGGCCCGGUACUGACGCUGAGAUGCGAAAGCGUGGGGAGCAAACA